rnacentral:sRNA from 1 species
ACAAGAGUUCUUCUUUCUUCUCUCUGCCUGCUUCUUUUUCCUCUCUUUUCUCUCUCUCUCUCUUUCUUUGUGAAAAUCUAGAAGAAGAGAAAGCUACAAAAAUCUCAACAU